UCUUAUGUAAGUAUAGGUCCAAUCUUCAGUCUUUUUUCUUAUCUGUUUUUGAUUUUCACUGUAAAGCAUUUUAAACUUUCAUUUACUCACCCUCAUGUUGCUUUAAACCUGUAUGAAUUUCUUCUUUCUUCCUUAUUCUUUCUUCAAACAGCAUUGGACCCCAUUCAUUUUCUUCACUUGAGACCCUUGAAAACACUUGAGACAUUUUUCAAGAUCUUCUUUUUGUUCUGCAGAAGAAAGCAAGUCAUACAUGUUUGGAAUGGCAUUAAGAGACGGAUCACACCUGAAGAUGUUUCCAGAGGACACAGGGUUUUCAGUAUGAAACCGAACCCUGGGAGCGCUUCGACCUGAGCUUCAGAGAGCAUGAGACUGAUGUGCUUUUGAAGAUGAUGACAGAUACAGGGCCUUGAUUUCAUUUGAUUAACUGGAGCAAGAAACUCUGUGAUGCAUCAUAGAGAGACCAUCUUUCUCUCCUGAACUCUCUCAGGUUUUGAGGUCAUUUCGUUAAUCACACUUAGAACUUCUGAGUCACAGGUUAAAACAUGUCACUGCAAAUACAUUUCUCUGUUUUUGGGUUCUGUACUUGUAGUACUUUCAGUCCAUAAUCCAUUUUCAUUGAUAUCAAAGGAAUUCAAUGCUUCUAAUGAAUGCAAUCUGUUGUCUUCUUGGUGCCUGUUUUCCCUUGUCAGAACAAGGAAGAAACAUUUAUUGUCCUGGCUUUUGUUUUCUAUAUGACUCUCAUUUUAACCUGCACAAUUAAUAUUGAUGUUUAUUAUUCAACUUUUUGUUUUUACAUUUAAAACUUUUACAUUUUUUUUUUAAUUUAUUAUUUACAUUUUUAAUUCAUUAUUAUUGUUGUUGUUUGUAUUCCUUUUUUCAUAUUUGUAAAAUUGUGAUAUGAAUAUCCUCUAAUUUUGUGUAAAUACAUGUGCAAAGAUAUUACACAGAACUUAACCUGUAAUUUGUACUACAGAAACAAGAGACAGAAAAAUAAAAGGUGAACAUUCAUAUUGAGAUGUUGCUGU
ensembl:lncRNA